AGACCAGGAAGUGACCAUUAGAUCGGUGCCUGUAGACUCUAGAGGCAGCUUCACCUUGCUCUGCUCUGACUCUCUCAAAGGCGAGAGGUCUAUACUGGGUUUAUAAUGCAGUGUUGUUCCUGUGCUCUGAAGGCUGUGUAUUAUAAUGGGAGGGGAGUCUCACCCCCCCCACCUGUAGA